ACAGGUGUACUUCUGCUGGGAUUGAGAAGAAAACUAGGGUGGAGAGGGAUGAUAGUUUUUAGGUUUGCAAAGGACCAUCUGGAAGAGUGAGAUCAGUGGAAGACGGACUGCUCUUGUUGAACUCAGUAAAAUCAGGAGAAUUGUUUGGAAGAUUCAAAUGGCUUCUUUGAAUUGAGAUUGAAGGAAAUAUUUCCUAAUAAGCAGAACUAUCCAAAAUGGAAUGGGCUACCUCUGGAGGAUAUGGAUUCUCCCUUACAGGAGGUCAUUAAGGAACACUUGGCCGAUAUGUUAGAGGGAAUUAUUUUUCAGUAAACAUAAGCCAGAGUAUUCAUGAAACUGAGCUUUCUUCAUCGGACCCACCCUCUGAAGAGCGAAUGUCACCCUGCCAAAGCUUGGGGAUGAGAAACGAGACGCAUAAUGAAAAGUUGUUUGUUUUCUCGAGUUUUACAAGUCAAUUUGGGAUACUUCAUCAGCCAAGUUUUUAUCUCUGUCCUAGGCGACCAUUACAUGUUUUCAAUUUGAAGGGGAAAAAAAAGUCCAUCUCUGCUUUCUGUGGCAUCUGGGCUCUAUUCAAACCACUCUACAAUUUCAUGCAGACAAAGAUUGUCCAAAUCACGUGCUCUGUUGGAGUAAUCGGAGUUCAUUAAAUAUGUACAGAGCAAACCUGUAUUCUAGUGA